rnacentral:rRNA from 1 species
UACGAAGGGGGCUAGCGUUGCUCGGAAUUACUGGGCGUAAAGGGCGCGUAGGCGGAUAGUUCAGUUGGGGGUGAAAGCCCGGGGCUCAACCUCGGAACUGCCUUCAAUACUGGCUAUCUUGAGUACGGGAGAGGUGUGUGGAACUCCGAGUGUAGAGGUGAAAUUCGUAGAUAUUCGGAAGAACACCAGUGGCGAAGGCGGCUCACUGGCCCGUUACCGACGCUCAGGCGCGACAGCGUGGGGAGCAAACAGG